rnacentral:rRNA from 1 species
AGUGAACGCUGGCGGUAGGCCUAACACAUGCAAGUCGAACGGCAGCACAGUAAGAGCUUGCUCUUACGGGUGGCGAGUGGCGGACGGGUGAGGAAUACAUCGGAAUCUACUUUUUCGUGGGGGAUAACGUAGGGAAACUUACGCUAAUACCGCAUACGACCUACGGGUGAAAGCAGGGGAUCUUCGGACCUUGCGCGAUUGAAUGAGCCGAUGUCGGAUUAGCUAGUUGGCGGGGUAAAGGCCCACCAAGGCGACGAUCCGUAGCUGGUCUGAGAGGAUGAUCAGCCACACUGGAACUGAGACACGGUCCAGACUCCUACGGGAGGCAGCAGUGGGGAAUAUUGGACAAUGGGCGCAAGCCUGAUCCAACCAUAUCGCGUGGGUGAAGAAGGCCUUCGGGUUGUAAAGCCCUUUUGUUGGGAAAGAAAAGCAGCAGGUUAAUACCCCGCUGUUCUGACGGUACCCAAAGAAUAAGCACCGGCUAACUUCGUG